rnacentral:tRNA from 1 species
GAGACACUAGUAAAAUAUUAAAUUACACUGCUUUGUCAAGGCAGAAUUGGGGGUUAAAGCCCCCCGCGUCUCG